UACGUAGGUGGCAAGCGUUGUCCGGAUUUAUUGGGUUUAAAGGGUGCGUAGGCGGUUCCAUAAGUCAGUGGUGAAAUACAAUAGCUUAACUAUUGAGGUGCCAUUGAUACUGCGGAACUUGAGUACAGACGAGGUAGGCGGAAUUGACGGUGUAGCGGUGAAAUGCUUAGAUAUCGUCAAGAACACCGAUAGCGAAGGCAGCUUACUAGACUGUAACUGACGCUGAGGCACGAAAGUGUGGGGAGCAAACAGG
rnacentral:rRNA from 1 species